rnacentral:rRNA from 1 species
CCUACGGGAGGCAGCAGUGAGGAAUAUUGGUCAAUGGGCGCGAGCCUGAACCAGCCAAGUAGCGUGAAGGAUGACUGCCCUACGGGUUGUAAACUUCUUUUGUACAAGAAUAAAGUGAGGCACGUGUGCCUUUUUGAAUGUACUUUAUGAAUAAGGAUCGGCUAACUCCGGUCCAGCCGCCGCGGUAAUACGGAGGAUCCGAGCGUUAUCCGGAUUUAUUUGGGUUAAAGGGUGCGUUGAUGGGUUGUUAAGUCAGUUGUGAAAUUUUGCGGCUCAACCGUAAAAUUGCAAUUGAUACUGGCAGCCUUGAGUACAGUUGAGGUAGGCGGAAUGCGUGGUGUAGCGGUGAAAUGCUUAGAUAUCACGAAGAACUCCGAUUGCGAAGGCAGCUUACUAAACUGCCACUGACAUUGAUGCUCGAAAGUGUGGGUAUCAAACAGGAUUAGAUACCCUGGUAGUC